UACGUAGGGUCCGAGCGUUGUCCGGAAUUAUUGGGCGUAAAGGGCUCGUAGGCGGUUCGUCACGUCGGGAGUGAAAACUCGGGGCUUGACCCCGAGCCUGCUUCCGAUACGGGCAGACUAGAGGUAGGCAGGGGAGAGCGGAACUCCUGGUGUAGCGGUGGAAUGCGCAGAUAUCAGGAAGAACACCGGUGGCGAAGGCGGCUCUCUGGGCCUUACCUGACGCUGAGGAGCGAAAGCGUGGGUAGCGAACAGG
rnacentral:rRNA from 1 species